rnacentral:lncRNA from 1 species
AAAACCGGGCGAUCUUUUUCGUUUUUGCAGAUUCGGUCCGCUUUUUCAGCCACCUACCAAAAUGCUCUUAUUACUUUUUCUCUCUCCUCUUUCUCUCCCCUCUUUUUGUUUUCUCUCAUUCAUUUUUUUUUUCUCUCCCCGAAGAGGCAGCAGAGGCAGAGGCGGAAGCGGAAACAGCCCGUCUCACCUCUCACCCUCAUGCUCUCGCCCUCGCCCUCGCCCUCACCCUCACCAUCGCACCCCUAACUUCCUCACCUCCGACCCCACCGAGGCCGUGCAGCAACUCUUUUUUUUUUCCUCUCCGACUCUUCUUCACCAUCUCCAAUGACGACGCCUCUCUCGCCCUUUCCCGCCCUUCUCGUCCUCUCCCUCUCCCCCCUCCUCUGCCGCCUUCGACGACGAU